AUGGCUCAGGAUGAACGCUAGCUACAGGCCUAACACAUGCAAGUCGAGGGGUAGCGUGAGGGAAGCUUGCUUCCCUGACGACGACCGGCGAAUGGGUGAGUCACGCGUGUCCAACCUGCCCCGUGCCCGGGGAUAGCCCUUGGAAAUGAGGAUUAAGACCCGAUAUGUGGCGCUUCCGCAUGGCGGCGCCAUGAAGCGGGCACGGGAUGGGGACGCGUCGGAUUAGCUUGACGGCGGGGCAACGGCCCACCGUGGCGACGAUCCGCAGGGGUUCUGAGAGGAAGGUCCCCCACACUGGCACUGAGACACGGGCCAGACUCCUACGGGAGGCAGCAGUGAGGAAUAUUGGUCAAUGGGCGGGAGCCUGAACCAGACCCAAGUAGCGUGCAGGACGACGGCCCUACGGGUUGUAAACUGCUUUUCCGGGAGGAUAAAGUGAGCCACGCGUGGUUCAUUGCAGGUAUCCCGGGAAUAAGGACCGGCUAAUUCCGUGCCAGCCGCGGC
rnacentral:rRNA from 1 species